ensembl:lincRNA
GGAAAUACCAACUAAGUAUUUCUUAGUGUGCCAUUAAAAGAUAGAGGAAGAAGAAAACCAAACAGUUAAUUAUGGCCCAUCUCAGGGUUCAUAAUGUAAGUUAAGUAUCUUUUUUUGCCCAUGAUUGUCAAGUCUACAAAUUUGAUCUGAAGGCAAAGAAAGGAAUAUGGCUGUACAAGAGGGUCUUAAAGACCCUCCCACUGAACAUGAGCUGAAGAGAGACAACAACAAUGAAUGUGUCAGAGUGGUCUAGGGGGAGGUGAUGAGGCUUCAACUCUAUGCAAAUAACUACAAGCAACUAAGGAAUUCUGAGACAGGGAGAGAGUCUUCCUCAGUGAAGGGCACACCAAUUGCUUAUCCAAAACCAAAUGGUCAGGUCUCAAGCCAUACACAUACAGACUGAGCAAAUUAUACAUAUACUCGUGAAUGUAUGCAUGUGCGUAUUCAUUAAUACAUAAAAAAUAGAGGCCAUGACUUUGAAAAGGAGAAAGGAAGGUUAUAUAAGAGGGUUUGAGGUGAGAAAAGAGAAACGGGGAAAUUGUGUAUUCUCUAAAACAUACACACAAAAAACAACCUAGGCCCAUUCAAAUACACACUGAGAACCAAAUUCAGAUCGAAUACACCAACCGUAGCCAUCACGUAACUGAAACUUGAGAUUCAGAUACUGUUAGGAUGGAUUUAGUACAGUGCUUAAAGUUGAUAUUAAAAAUAAUUAACAGCCAGGCAGUGGUGAUGCAUGUUUAAUCCCACUCUUGUCCCUUCUCUCUUCAGACCUUCUCUCCGUGGGAACUUUCAAUCUCUUCCCCUUCUCCUCUGUCUCCCUUCCCAAGGCUGUUUCCCUGACCAGUGAACUUGCCUCCCCUGCCAAGAGCAGUUUCCCAAUAAUCCUGAGAUAUAGAUGGAUAGAUAGAUAGAUGGAUAGAUAGAUAGAUAGACAGAUAGGUAGAUAGGUCCCUGAUCUGACUUGAAUUGGCUCAUUUUACCUGUGAAGGAGUAACUUAUCAGAGAUUUCAUAUGAUAAGGCGAUGCAAACCCUUUCUCUCCCUUCUGCCUCAUCUCCAUGCUCAAAUUUAGAAAAGAAACAACUGUAGACACAUCCCAGGAUUAAGUUAAACCCAGCCACCUGGAAUUAAGUAAAUGACUCUUUGUUGGGGGAGGGGGAGGUGGGAUAUAUGACAGCAUUUAUUCUACUCUCACAAGAAAACUACAGUUCAGAAUUGAGUUUCUCUGUGCAACGCAGACUGACUGGGGAGAUCAGAAGUGUCAUUCUUCUGAUCCAUACUAGUGUUUUACUAGAUCCGAGGCACGUGGAAUGCCCCAGUCUUCACUUACUACAUACUUACUGAGAACUUUCCAUGAGUUAGGCAUUGCGUUUGCUUCCGUCAUUUCCAAACACUACUAGAUAAAGUGUGACAAACGAGACAGGAAAGAGCUUUUGUAUCUCUCUUGCAAUUCUUAAACAGAGCAGCCAGAAAUGUCAAGGGCAGUAGCAGAUAAAACAGACCCAGUUUGAAGUGGUCUCUACCCACUACCUCACGGGGAAAGGAGGAGCGCCCCCCCCCCCCUU